rnacentral:rRNA from 1 species
GACGAACGCUGGCGGCGUGCUUAACACAUGCAAGUCGAACGGUGAAGCGCCUUCCUUUUUGGUGGGUGUGGAUGAGUGGCGAACGGGUGAGUAACACGUGAGUAACCUGCCCCCUUCUUCUGGAUAACCGCAUGAAAGUGUGGCUAAUACGGGAUAUUCUGGGUCUGUCGCAUGAUGGGUCUGGGAAAGAUAUUGUUUCGGUGGGGGAUGGGCUCGCGGCCUAUCAGCUUGUUGGUGGGGUGAUGGCCUACCAAGGCGGUGACGGGUAGCCGGCCUGAGAGGGUGGACGGUCACACUGGGACGGAGACACGGCCCAGACUCAUACGGGAGGCAGCAGUGGGGAAUAGUGCACAAUGGGCGCAAGCCUGAUGCAGCGACGCCGCGUGAGGGAUGGAGGCCUGCGGGUUGUGAACCUCUUUCGCCAGUGAAGCAGGCCUGCCUCGUUUGUGGGUGGGUUGACGGUAGCUGGAUAAGAAGCGCCGGCUAACUACGUG